rnacentral:rRNA from 1 species
CGAAGCAACGCGAAGAACCUUACCAACUCUUGACAUCCCCCUGACCGGUACAGAGAUGUACCUUGCCCUUCGGGGGCAGGGGUCACAGGUGGCGCAUGGUUGUUGUCAGCUCGUCUCGUGAGAUGUUGUGUUAAGUCCCGCAACGAGCGCACCCCUUCUCGUUAGUUGCCAGCAUUUGGUUGGGCACUCUAGGGAGACUGCCGGUGACAAACCGGAGGAAGGUGGGGAUGACGUCAAAUCAUCAUGCCCCUUAUGAGUUGGGCUACACACGUGCUACAAUGGCCGGUACAAAGGGCAGCGAAGCCGCGAGGUGGAGCCAAUCCCAGAAAGCCGUUCUCAGUUCGGAUUGCAGGCUGCAACUCGCCCGCAUGAAGUCGGAAUCGCUAGUAAUCGCAGGUCAGCAUACUGCGGUGAAUACGUUCCCGGGUCUUGUACACACCGCCCGUCCCACCCCGAGAGUUUGCAACACCCGAAGUCGG